GACGAACGCUGGCGGCGUGCUUAACACAUGCAAGUCGAGCGGUAAGGCCCUUUCGGGGGUACACGAGCGGCGAACGGGUGAGUAACACGUGGGUGACCUGCCCUCAGCUCUGGGAUAAGCCCGGGAAACUGGGUCUAAUACUGGAUAUGACUCCAUGACGCAUGUUGUGGGGUGGAAAGCCUUGUGCGGCUGAGGAUGGGCCCGCGGCCUAUCAGCUUGUUGGUGGGGNGAUGGCCUACCAAGGCGACGACGGGUAGCCGGCCUGAGAGGGCGACCGGCCACACUGGGACUGAGACACGGCCCAGACUCCUACGGGAGGCAGCAGUGGGGAAUCUUGCGCAAUGGGCGAAAGCCUGACGCAGCGACGCCGCGUGA
rnacentral:rRNA from 1 species